CUGCUCCUGUCGGUCCGUUCCCGUAUUCCCCCCAUCAGUUCUAAUGUCCCCUCCGUGUCUCCGGCACCUCACACUCACCGCGAACUCGCGGCGUCGGGUACAGCCGCUGCGCCUUCUCCAGGAAGCGGAGCGCCCGAUUCCUCCUGCAAACUCCUUGAAGACCUUGCUCAGUGCCUGGCCCACAGUAGGUGAUCAGUAAAGAGUUGUAGAAUGAAUGGUGACUCUUACCCUGUCACUUGCUGGUAAAAAUUCCCAUUUUGGAGCCACAGAGAACAAUACACGGCUGCUUCCCUCCCCUCAGAUUAAGAAAAUGAACCCCAGGCUUCCCUGGUGGGUUCGAGCCCUGGCCUGGGAAGAUCCCACAUGCCACGGAGCAACUAAGCCAGUGAGCCACAACUACUGAAUCCCAUGUGCCACAACUACUGAAGCCCACGCACCUAGAGCCCAUGCUCUGCAACAAGAGAAGCCACCACAAUUAGAAGCCUGCGCACGGCAAUGAAGAGUAGCCCCCACUCGCCGCAACUAGAGAAAGCCCGUGAGCAGCAGAAAACCCAAUGCAGCCAAAAAAAAAAAAAAAUUAAAAAAAUUAAAAAAAACAAAAACAAAAAAACCCCAAAACAAACAAACAAAAAGAAAAUAAACCCCAUUUACCACCAAAAGCAAAGGUAACAAAAGCAAAAAUAAACAAGUGGAAUUAUAUCAAACUAAAAAGCUUCUGCACAGCAAAGGAAACCAUCAACAAAAUGAAAAGGCAAUCUACUAGACAGGAGAAGAUAUCUGCAAAUCAUAUACUGAUAAGGGGUUAAAAUGCAAAAUAUACAGAGAACUCAUGCAACUCAACAGCAAAAAACCAAACAACCUGAUUAAAAAAUGUGCAGAGGACCUGAACAGAUGCUUCCCAAAGAAGACAUACAAAUGGCCAAUAGACACGUGAAAAGAUGCUCAACAUCACUAAUCAUCAGGGAAAUGCAAAUCAAAGCCACAAUGAGAUACCACCUCACACCUGUCAGAAUGGCUGCUAACAACAACAACAACAACAAAUAACAAGUGUUGGCCAGGAUGUGGAGAAAAGGGAACCCUGUGUACUGUUGGAGAGAAUGUAAAUUGGUGCAGCCACUAUGGGAAACAGCAUGGAAGUUCCUCAAAAAAUUAAAAAUAAAACUACCAUAUGAUCCAAAUUCCACUUCUGGGUAUUUAUCUGAAAGAAACAAAAACACUAACUUGAAAAGAUAUAUGCACCCCUAUGUUCACUGCAGCAUUAUUUAUAAGAGCUAAGACACAGAAACAACCUAAGUGUCCAUGGACAGAUGAAUGGAUGAAGAAAAUGUGAUAUGUGUGUGUGUGUAUAUAUAUUGUGUGUACGAUGGAAUAUUAUUCAGCCAUAAAAAGAAGGAAACUUUGCCAUUUUUGACAACAUGGAUGGACCUUGAGGCCAUUAUGCUGACAUAAAUCAGAGAAAGAUAAAUACUGUAUGAUCUCAGUUAUAUGUGGAAUCUAAAACGAACAAACAAAAAUAAUUGAGUUCAUAGAUAUAUAGAACAGAUUAGAGGUUGCUAGAGGUGGGGGAUGGAGGUGGAUGAAUUCUGGUGCAGGGCUUCAAAAGGUACAAACUUCCAGUUAUAAGUAAGUCAUGGGGAUAUAAUGUACAGCAUGAAGACUAUAUUUAAAAACACUGUAUUGCAUAUUUGCAAGUUGCUAAGAGAGUAGAUCUUAAAAAUUCUCAUUAUAAGAAAAAAAUUUGUAACAUGUAUGGUGACUAGACUUAUUAUGGUGAUCAUUUUGCAAUAUACACAAAUAUUGAAUCAUUAUGUGGUACACCUGAAACUAAUACGUUAUAUGUCAAUUAUAUGUCAAUUAAAAAAUUAGGUCCCAGAGAUAAAAUGAUUUUUUAAAGGUAAUAGAAGUAGAUGUUGAUAGAGCCUCCUUCUAAAAGGCUGGAAAAUCAAACAUUUCCCAGGACUUCCCAGGAGAAGAGGGGAACUGUGAUGCUGGUUGCCAUUACUCCCAUAUUCACUUCACAAACCAGCUCUUGGAUACUGGCUUCAAAAAUUAUAAAAAUGUUCUUUGGAAAAAAACUCAAACUACCUAAAAGUGAUUAGAGUAAAAACAAAACCUGGGGAGAGUUACUCUCUCUGCAGCAGUGCUGUCCAUUAGAACUCUCUGCGAUGAGGGAAACGUUUUUAUCUGUGCUAUUUUCAAUACAGGAGCCACCAGCCACGUGUGAUACUGGAAGAAGUGAGUUUUAAAUUGUAUUCAAUUUUAAUUAAUUUAAAUUUAAAUAACCACAUGUAACUGUGGUAUCAUAUUGGACAGGGCAGCUCUAGAGAAUAAUCACCCUUCCCUGUGGAUGAGGACUCUCCUUGUCCUCCCUCUGGGGCUUCCUUUCACUCAGACCUCGGUUGUGGGUUCAGGGGGGAGAUUUAAAUAACUCAAGUUCAACUUAAAAAGUUAAUGAGGACUUCCCUGGUGGUGCAGUGGUUGGGAAUCCACCUUCCAAUGUAGGGGACGUGGGUUCGAUCUCUGGUCAGGGAACUAGAUCCCACAUGCAUGCCACAGCUAAGAGUUUGCAUGCCACAACUAAGUAACACACCUGCCGCAACUAAGACCUGGCACAACUAAAAAUAAAAAACAAACAAAAAGUUAAUGAACACCUGUUAUGUGCAAAGUACUGUCUGAGGUCCUAUUUGCAGGGGAGGGGGGAUCCAAAGGUGGAUAGGACUUGUAACUACCCAUAAAAAGCUCACAAUUUGGUAGGGACAUUAAGUCACAUACACAGAGAUGGAGUGUAACAUGCAGCAAUGCGGACAAAUUGAACCAAGUUAAGGAAUAAAAAAAACAGAGUGAUUCAUUAUGCUGGGAUUAAAAGGGAAGGUUUCACACAUGCAGGAGCUUUUGAUCUGUUCUUGAAUUCUGUGAGCCUAGCUUCCUGGAAGAAGAUGAACAGUGAAUCCUGGCUGUGAGACAGGGAAUGGAGGUCAUAUAGUUCAGAGGGGGGCAGUGCACUUUUGGUUCAAAUCCUGGAUUUGCUAUCUAAUACUACCUUUGUGAUCCUGGGAAAACUCCUUUACCUCUCUGAGUUGCAGCUUCCUUAUCUGUAAAAUGUGGUUAAUAACUACUCCUGUGUCAGAGGCUUAAAUGAGCAGCUUGCACAGUGUAUCUGGCUCAUAGUAAGCAAUGAAAAAACUGUGAGAUAACUAAUAACGACCUACUGUAUAUCACAGAGGACUCUACUCAGUACUCUAUAAUGGUCUAUAUGAGAGAAGAAUCUAAAAAAGGGUGGAUAGAUGUGUAUGUAUAACUGAUUCACUUUGCUGCAUGCCUGAA